rnacentral:lncRNA from 1 species
ACGCGUAUGCUUCUUUCCUAUUGAUGUGUCUUAUGUCAGUUUAAUUCUCAGGCCCAGAAAAACAACAACAGCAACAACAACAACAACACUUUCAAACUCCCCUACAUGGUAAUUCUCAGAGUGGAACAUACACAGACAUGCUCACAGUAGGAAGAAAAGAAAAAGAAAAGGAAGACAACUCCACAACACACAAUGCUAGGCCAGAGGAUUGCCCCAAAGGCUGUUUGAGUUGAUCUUUCUGCCACUUGCAGAAGAGACCUGAUGUACAUCUUUCAUAUCCCAAGGUUCAUUCCAAUCAUGGGCCAAACUUGAACAUGAAAGAGCGGUACACAGGGUCCUGGAAACCUUCCUUUAAGUGGACAUCAGUCAAUUAAUCAAUAUCCUUCAGGUAUGGUUAUUAAACCAGUGACUAUUCCACUUAAUUGUAAAUAGCAUCUAAUCCAUAUUUCUUUACACAGUUCUUAAGCAGGUCACGAAAAAUUGCCAAAUUACUGGUGCACUUUCCAGAUCUACCUAUCAAUGCCAUCCAUAUAGAAACGAGAAUUAAU